rnacentral:lncRNA from 1 species
AGAUCCCAAGCCACGGAGCUUGCGGGAAAUGUUGCCCUAGUCAAGAAUCUUUUCCAGUAAUCAGCAUUAGCACUUAUAUUGUCUUGAGCUUAGGCCGCUGCUCAUCCACAGUUUCUCCAUUCUCCACUUUCUCUUCCUCCUCUAAUGCCGGAUUUCCUUGAUCAGCUUCACUUGGUGUGGGGAAGAUGCAGGGAUGCUCUCCGAAAGCACAAUCCAAACUGAGCCAUCGCGUGAAGAGGGAUGAGGUUGAGAAUAGAAGACCUUCAGGUGAUGACUCAACAGAUGGAAAAGCAGAGAGAUCUGGAAGUUCUAGGAUUUUCUGUUUACAAAAGAUGACAAAUAACAUUGAAGAUCUCUCAGUAAUCAAUAAUGUAAAUAUGUUGCUACAGCAUUUUAAAAUUAUGCUAUGAUUAUGGUAGGAUAAAAAGGAGAUGCAAAUGUAUGUAGAAUUUAUAUAUGACAGUACCUCUUUUGCUAUGUUGUCCAAUGUGUGCGUCAGCUCGCUGAUGAACCCGUAUUUGAGGUGAACUCUGUUGAGGUGUUGGAGGAGCUGAAGCCAAGAAUGUGACAGGAUUGCAGCAGCACUGAACACACAACACUACACUCACACACACAAAGACACAACAAAUCAAAAUUAGGUCUCGGUAUUUAAUAAAGUUUAUAAAAACUGUCAA